rnacentral:rRNA from 1 species
AUGGAGGUGGUGACUGGCAGCAACGGCGGGAGGCUGAACCCGUGGGCGGAGCCCUUCGUGCCGGGGAGCUGGUGCCGCCCCGCCCCCGUGCAGGCGGCCGCGGCGGAGGUCGAGGACUUCUCCCCCGAGUGGUGGCGCCUCGUCGCCUCCUCGCCGUCCUUCCGCGACAGCUGGCUCCGCGACUACGGCGACCUGGGGCUCCUGGACGCCGACGAAGGCCCAGACGACAGCGACGCCUUCUUCCCUCCGCCGCGCCACAACGAUGGGGAGGAGAGGAAAGGAGAAGCCGCCGUCAAGAAGAGCGGAGGGGAGGUGGCGCCCUGGGGGAUCGAGAAGUGGUGGCGGGCGCACGUCGCCUCGCCGCCGGAGGUCCCGAAGUAUGCGGAGAAGGCGCCUGCCAAGGUCCUGGGCGGCGGCAGGUUCAGCCCCCGCACAAUCCAGCAGCCUCGCUAA